CGUAGGGGGCUAGCGUUGUCCGGAUUUAUUGGGCGUAAAGAGCGCGUAGGCGGCUAGGUAAGUCCGACGUGAAAUCUGGAGGCUCAACCUCCAGCGGUCGUUGGAAACUACUUGGCUAGAGUCCGGAAGAGGAGAGUGGAAUUCCUGGUGUAGCGGUGAAAUGCGCAGAUAUCAGGAAGAACACCGAUGGCGAAAGCAGCUCUCUGGGACGGUACUGACGCUGAGGCGCGAAAGCGUGGGGAGCGAACAGGAUUAGAUACCCUGGUAGUCCACGCCGUAAACGAUGGGUGCUAGGUGUGAGCGGUGUCGACUCCGCUCGUGCCGAAGCUAACGCAUUAAGCACCCCGCCUGGGGAGUACGGCCGCAAGGCUA
rnacentral:rRNA from 1 species